UACGUAGGGUGCGAGCGUUAAUCGGAAUUACUGGGCGUAAAGCGUGCGCAGGCGGUUUUGUAAGCCAGAUGUGAAAUCCCCGGGCUUAACCUGGGAAUGGCAUUUGGGACUGCAAGGCUUGAGUUUGGCAGAGGAGACUGGAAUUCCUGGUGUAGCAGUGAAAUGCGUAGAUAUCAGGAGGAACACCGAUGGCGAAGGCGGGUUGCUGGGCUGACACUGACGCUGAUGCGCGAAAGCCAGGGGAGCGAACGGG
rnacentral:rRNA from 1 species